GAGUUUGAUCCUGGCUCAGGAUGAACGCUAGCGGCAGGCUUAAUACAUGCAAGUCGAGGGGCAGCAGCUUUAUAGCAAUAUAGAGGCUGGCGACCGGCAAACGGGUGCGGAACACGUACACAACCUUCCUUGAAUAGGGGGAUAGCCCAUAGAAAUGUGGAUUAAUACCCCGUAAUAUAGCGGUGUGGCAUCWCACUGUUAUUAUAGUUUCGGCGAUUCGAGAUGGGUGUGCGGCUGAWUAGGUAGUYGGCGGGGCU
rnacentral:rRNA from 1 species